AAGCGCUACGGUGGCCCGGAAGGAGGGGUGGACGCGCCUGCGACUUUCGGCAUGCCCUGGCUGCUGCGACCCAGGAAUGAUGGAGAUAUUAAUAGAGGAUUCUAUUACCACAUGUCUUUCUCCAUCAGUGUAUGAUAUGAUUUGUAAACUUGGGUUUGAAGUCAGAGAAAAUUGUGAUAUCAAUACCAUUGUAUCUCCAAAUGGCGAAGUGUGCUGGCAGACAAUCACAGAAUGUGUGAGUUAUACAGAGUCAGACCAAAAUCUGGAUUACCAGAAAAGUGUGAGGCUACUGGGUCCUAUAUGUGAAGCUGUUCAUUUGCAUUUGGUAUCUUUGACUAAGAUGCAGUUUGAAAUUCGUUAUGCAUUGUGGUUCCAGUGGACAAAUUUUCCAGAGUUAUUUCCUGAGAUAUUUGAUGCCUUGAAAAGUCUACAAACUACUACUGUUUCCCUUAGCUUAAUGAAACUGACGUCGUGUCUAGAACGAGCUUUGGGUGAUGUAUUUUUACUGACUGGGAAGGAAUGCCCCUUUCUUUUAAGAGAUCUGCUUGCAUCUGAGGAACUUGCUCAAGUCUUUGGGCAGCCUGUGAUGGAUGUGCUAAAAGUGUUUGUUGGCUCUCCAUGUGGACUUAACCUGCGUAAUAUCUUAUGGCAUGGCUUUGCAUCACCUCAAGAAAUUCCUCCAAAAUACUGUUCAAUGGUGUUACUGGUGACAGCAGGAUUGGGUCAGCUGCUAAAAAGUUACCUUCAACAAAUUGAAUUUACAUUGGUACAUCGAUCUUUCAUAACUCUUAAAAACUCAGAGGAUUUGAUUGUUUUUCCUGAUGUUACUCCUGAAAUACUUUCAAUAUUAGAAGAAGUGAUGAAGACAUCUACUUUUAUAUUAAAAAUUAUGUUGCCAUAUUGGGAAGUUGCAAUAAUCAAGUUUAGAUCACACAGGUUUGCUGACUGUGCUUUAUUAUUAUUGACUCAACUAGAAACUGGACUCAGGAAUGUUUUUGCCACAGUUAACAAAUGUCCCAAAAGACUUCUGACAGCAGAGUCAACAGCUCUUUACACAACCUUUGAUGAAAUAUUGGCAAAAGAAUUGAAUGAUGGUAAAAUCAAUCAGCUUCCUCUUUUUCUUGGAGAGCCUGCUAUGGAAUUUCUCUGGGAUUUCCUAAACCAUCAGGAAGGUCCUCGUGUAAGAGAUCAUUUAAGCCAUGGGGAGAUCAACUUAAAUGAAUUUCCAAAAGAAAUAGCAAAUCAGUUGCUUGCAUUUUCCCUUGUACUGUUACUCAGAUUCAUUGAUGAAGAUCUGUUAUCCGUUUUUAAGGAAAAAACAGCAAUAAAAUCAUUGGUUAGUUUUGCAGAAGGCUAUAGUUCUUGCUUCCAUCCAGUUUCUCAGCUUAAAAAACAGGUGCUGAACUGUGAAAAAAGUAUCAGUGUUUGGCCACUACUUCCUUUGCCAGGAGAUCAAAUUCAGGUAACGAGAUUAGAAGAUAAUUCUGAAACAAAGUCCUGCAACUCUUUGAUUAUAAAAAUUAUGUAUGAACUAUAUUAUCAUGUACCUGAGAAUCAUUGUGUUUUUAAAAGUUUGGAUAAUAUUCCUACUGAGAAAUGGUCCCAGUUGCUCAGCGAACUUUGCAGCAUACCCGUCCGAACUUUAUACUGUCCCAGAAUUGUACUUGAAGUUCUCAUUGUGCUCCGAAAAAUCAGCACCCAGUGCCAGCAAGUGUCUGAUCAGGUUGUUACCUCCUCAGAGAUGAGGCACAAGCAGUGGGUGGAAAAGACUCUUCGAUCUCGGCAGAGACAGAACUAUCUACGCAUGUUAACCAGUAUUAAGCUUCUGUCUCCUGUACUUUACCUGAUUUUAUUGUUCAUUGCACUGGAGUUGGUCAGCAUUCACUUUGUUCAUGAAAAGAAUACUUAUGAAUAUCAGCAGUAUUUAAACUGAGUGAACAUUGAGUCAUGAGGUCGCACCAAGUCCCUCUGGACAUAGCUAUUUGGACCAGCAGUGGACACCUGCUAGUGGGGAGCUUAUCCAUCGGUUGGCUGACUUGAGAUAUUGGGAGAUAUUCCCCUUGGGGAUUUUGAAAUUGGAAUACUAAGAAGCAGAAACCUCUGGAGCUAGAAGAUCAGGAAGCCCAGGGACUAGGGUACGCCGAACACAGGACUCCAUGCAGAAUUUCCCCCUCCUGUUUUUCUAAGGAUGUUUUGAUCCUACCAUUUGCCUGGGUCGCUUUGACACGAGGGCUGGGGUUUCCCGCUGUCCUUGGAUGACAUCUGUGAGGCUUUAAUGUCCGGAGAACCACUGCCCCAACUCAAACGUCAACCCAACUGGCACCACCCUGUAGGAGCGCCAUCAGAUCACGUUGGUGCUCCGAGGCCUGUGUAUGUGUUUUUAAGAAACUUCCCAAGGCGAUUCUAAUGUGAAGUCUGCAUUAGGAAUCCCUGAUGUGGUCAACAAUUUUGAGGGGUUGCUUGGGCCAUAGUUCUUGGGUAAAAGGAAGCUUCUGAGAUACCUGUGGGAAGUUGGGCUGAAGUUACAACAAGGGAAGGCAGAAACCAAGUUGUUUUACUCUUCUAUUCCAAGCCUGACAGGCAACAGAUAUUCAACGAGUGUUUGUGCAAGGACCCGGUACUUGAAGGCAUGAGGAGGUGGACAUAUGGAUGUGUUUGGAGAGUGAAACCACGAAGCAGAUUCCUGGCUGCUCCUUCAGGGAAACAAGAAACAAGCAGGUAUCCUACAAACUGGGCAAUUUGGAAGAACGAUGUUCCUCAGAGAGUGCUAAAGAAGAGAUGCACAUGACCAAGUUCAUUCAGAUUGCAAUUCAGCUGCAGCUGUGGCAAGCAAAACCCAGUGUUGUGAAAAGUGAAACAUUUUCUGGUUUGGCUUUCACGUUGGACUGAUGUUUUCCGCCAAAAGGAAAGACAUUUUAUACUCUUUAAAGAUUAUGUCCAGCAGGAUUAAAAUGACAUCUGUAUCUGCUAUGAAGUCAGCUAAAACAAAACAUGACAACGAAAGCAAGGGAAGACAAAUGUAUAUUGCAUCACGUGUUUUAUGGCACAAAUUAAAUAAAGGCAAUUGUAUGAAAGUUAGAAAACAGAGAGAAAUGUCACAUUAUGUUCCAAAUUCUGGAACGUAGUGAAGACAAAGCACAGGGAGAAAAAUUUAAUGUGCAAAUAAAACCCAAUUUUAAAGAAAAUAUCUGCAUGGGUUAAGGUGCCCACAUGGUUAGGGUGUGGUAGCAAAGAUGGUGGACCCAAUUACUCUGCCCGCACCCCCCAAAACCCCACAGAUUAAUUAGUGCCUUACAGCAACCUGAUCUUAAAAAAUGGAUUGCAUAGCUGGUACCUGGAGAUAUGUUUACCAACAUUUCUGUCUCACUCUCGAUAGCUAUUGCUAUUCUUUUUUUGCCAAGUUAACAAAGGUUUUGAGGCACGUGGGGUCCCGGAGAGACUGGAGGUCUUGAUGAAAGAAGCUCUGGGCUCUUUGAAGACCGUGGGCUUCCCGAGGGUGGUGGGCUGAGCCUAGAGCCCCUGGAGCUUGAUAUGUUCCUUUUCUUUCCUUAAAUGAGCACUCUUGGCUGACUGGUGGCCUGGCCAGGCCCUGGAGCCUCUUGGCUGCAUCUGCUUAUCAAGGAAUGGAAACACCUGCCUGUCUAGGGCUUCGAGUUCAAGUGCUGCUAUUGAAGGACAAAUCUUGUUUCUUUCUAGCUGUCUCCCCCUUUUCUCAUACUUCUCCUCCUGCAUCUAAAGCAGCUUUGUGUAUUUUAGGGCCGCACCUCUACUUUACUUGCCUUUUCUUUUUCUUCGCCUCGUAGGUACAGAGCUGAAAAUGUCUGCUCCACAUGGAACUUGGUUUAGGAGGGAGCCUGAGAUCGUCAGCUGACAUCAGCACGGCCGUUUAAAGGACACAGAUGAGCUUCUGAACUUUCUGCACAUUUAAGGCUUUGGUUUGCCAGGGCUGCUAUGACAAACACCAUAGACUGGUUGGUAUAAACAACAGGACUUUAAAGUCUCAAGGUUUUGGAGGCUGGAAGUCUAAAAUCAGGGUGUCGGCAAGGCCGACCUUUCUCCGAAGUCUGUAGCAUCCUAGUGCAGGUUGCUCCAGCACAGGGUGGACUCUCUCUCUGGUUUCUUCUGAGCUGGCUUCUUCUGACUGAUUGCAUCCAGACUUCCUCUCCUUAUAAGGACUUCAGCCAUAAGGAUUAAGGCCUCGUCUAAAUAAGACCUUCAAGCAGAAUAAAAUCCUAUUCACGAAUGAGUCCACACCUUAGCUACCAGCACCUUCAAAUCUUAUUUACAAAUGGAUUCACAGUCUCAGGAAUGAAGAUUAAGACCUGAACACAUCAUUGGUGGGGACAUGAUUUGAUUCCCAACAAGCAGCCUCUUUGAAAUGUCUGUAUUUUUGUGUUUCCUCUUCUCCCUUUGAGUCAACAAACAAAGACAAUUUCUGUAGGAAUUUAUGUGGCCCUCCAUUGCCUUGCCAUGUCUAGGGUUGCUUUGUGGAGGACUGGGAGUCACACCCAUUGCCGAGACCCAAAUGACCUCUCCAGCUCCCGGGGGCCUGAGCAAGAUCUCAGAAUAUUUUCUCCAGGAUGUUUCCAGGAGGAAACACAUAGAGACCAAAAGUGGGGGCAGUGUUUGAUGGAUAAGGUUACAGUGGCCCCAACAAGUCAGAAAGGCAGCCAGUAUUAAGAAAGAGAGAACUUAGUCAAGGCUAAAAAAUUCUCGUAUGCGCUAUGGCAAAAUCAGAUGUGAUGUGUUUGUCAGACAGCAGCAUAGUGAAAUGAUUCAGAAUGUGGGCUAGAUUUUCCACUUCUCAGCUGAGUGAUCUUGAGCAAACUACUUAACUCUUGAAGCCUCAGUUUUUCUCAUCUGUAAAUGGGGACAGUAAAUCUCUAAACCUUAUGGGAUUGUAGUACAGACGAAAUAAGAUAAAGACCAUACAAAAACUGGUGUCUAGCUAGCUCAGUAAAUGUUAUCUGUUAUUCACCCCAUUGAUGACAAAUUACCUUUGUAUUAAUGAGUGUGGGUGCAUGUGUCUUCUUUUGAAUUAUAAGCCCCUGAAGAAGUGUUACUCAAAUUUUAAUGCUCAACUAAUCACCUGGGAAUCUUGCUAAAAUAGAAAUUGAUUCAGGGUGUCCAGAGUGAGACCUGAAAGCCUGCAUGUGCACUAAGUUCCCAGGUGAAACCCAGGUAAGGGACCACACUUUGAGUAGCAAAGCUCCUGAACAACACAACUGGGUCUCAGUUCUAUGCUGGAAGAUGACUAGCACAGACUCUUACACACACUAGACACCCAAUAAAACCUUUUUUUUGAAUGAAUGAAUAACUGGUGAGCUGCAUAGCUAAAGAGGAGCCCCCAAAUAUUCAGAAGUGGCCCCAAAUAUUACAUUAUAGAAAGAGCACUUAAUCUGGUGACAAGCAUAGGUUUAAGAAUAACACAGGUGAAUCUGUGAAAACCAACAAUCACAGGUACUUAUGAUGAUGUUCUGGAUGUUCAGGGCAUUCUGGAACUUUUGAGGACAGCAUCACAGAGGAUCUUAUUCUGUUUCCCCACAACACAUUGCCUAGGUCCACCAUACAAUGGAGAAUAUAGGGCUGGGUAUGAUAAUUGCCAUGACUGAUCAACUCAAAAAUGUAUUUGUUAAGCAACUAGCUCGGCACAGGGCUUUGUGCUCCCAUUGCCUACAGAUUCAGAGAGUGUGCUCCAUUUGGGUCUACUUUGAUUGCACCUGUAAUGCAAGUAUCCCGUGGAGUACUGUGCCGGUUUGUAUAUUUAUGUCCCCCAGAAAAAGCCAUAUUCUUUAACGCAUUCUAGUGGGGCAGACGUAUUGGUGUGGAUUGGGUUGGGACCUGUUGGUUCAGUUUCCAUGGAGAUGUGAC